GCACGGGUGCCCUGGGUGAGAAACCGGGCUGAGAGGUGGCACAGCCACAACCGUUGAACCUGAUCCGGAUAAUGCCGGCGAUAGGGAGGAAAAUAUG
rnacentral:ncRNA from 1 species